ensembl:lncRNA
GUUUUUUGGAACCCGGUAGUCCGCCUGAGACGUAGAGAGUGAGAUAAAUAAAGUUCGGGGGAAGAGUGUUUGUCCGAAGUUGAGAAUGGCGGCAAAUAAAACGCCUCUUUGAGGCUGUAGUUUAUUUUCCCUUCGACAAUGUCAGAAAUACUCAAGACGCAAGGUGGCUUCCCUGUAGUGCACAAAAAUAAACCAACGUAGGAAGACGCAUGCGUAGUUCCACAUUGUGCGACUCGGGUGCCUCUUGAGGUAUUGUUUGGAGAAUGAUUCGCAAGGACCUCGUGGCGCAACGGUAGCGCGUCUGACUCCAGAUCAGAAGGCUGCGUGUUCGAAUCACGUCGGGGUCAAGAGUUCCUUUUCAAAAGAAGGAAUUAUUUUAUAUUGGGAACCCCGCGUUAAGCGCUGAGAUUGAAGGUUGAAAAUAGCAUUCUUAGAAACGUGCUUGUGAUUUCACCGUGAAGCUGUGACGAGAGCAAGACAUGACAAUAGGGGUCUUUGGGGAUUGUAGUAUACUGGGGAAAACGGCAAGCACAAAGAUGCGACCGCGCCGCACGUGAGAAAGCUCACAGGAGGCGCGCGCGGUUGGGCGUGUGAAAUGGGNAGAAUUGGCAAGGUCACGAGAAAUAAACCGUGUUGGACGGCGUCCUGAAAGAAAAAGCCCAUACCAUUAACAGAUAUGGAGAAGAUUACUGUGGAUGUCAACUUAGUAGACAAAGAACAAGACAAUGCAGAACUGGACUGCAAAGAUGAAAUUAGGGUUAAAGCUAUGAGUGAUGUGGAACUACGGAAGCAGCUUUGUAUCUACGGAAUCAGCCCUGGACCAGUAUUAUCUUCUACAAGGGCCAUCUAUGAAAACAAGUUGCUCCAGCUGAUGAAGCAGUGCCCCAAAAUAGUUGCUAGUGUGAACAGUGAACUCGAUAGUUCUGAAAAUGAUGAAGGAAAAGGGAACACCACAGAAGUAGUUCUUGAAACAAACAACCUCAAAGUGACAGCUGAAUGUGCCUCUGGGCUUGAUCACAAACCACCUAUAGAUGUAACAGAACGUCAAAAGAAACUCUUGUCACCUGAUGUUGAACAUAGUUUGGCCAAAAUAGUAGCAGAACUUCAAGAAAUAUUGCCAGAGGGUAAAAUGUCACUGCAUCGGUCACAAGGGUUAAGGAGGAAAAGUGGCAGCAGUCCUGAGAGGAACUAUAAACGAAAGAAAAGUGAUGCCCCACCACACCAAGACUGUGGCUAUCCUGAUACUAACAGUGUAGGACAAAGUACAAGAAGAAGAACAGUAAGAGAGACUCCUUCUACUGUGAAGCAGGGUACUAAAGCCAAGUCCCGAGUCAUACCUGAGAAACCAAGAGCAGAACUUAUACCAACACGUGUGAAAAUUGCUGCACUGGCAAUCUUCAUUUUCCUCCUCUUUGUGUAUAUCACUAUGGAAACCAAUCUGGGUAAUCCAUUUUCAGACUUCAUCAAGGGCAAGUGAGUGUCUCCUGUCCUUUAGUGGUGAAAUGGUUAGAUCACAGAAAAUAGUUCUGUCUAACUUGGAUAAGUGANUUGGGUAGGUAAUUAAAAAGCAAAAUGAGAUUGCUGUGUGUGGUGUUUUCUUGCUGUAGAAUCCAUUUUCUACACGUCACAUAUUAGGC